CUUGGUCAACCAAUGAGUUUUAUUGGGAUUCCUUAUAGAAGUAUGGGUGAAGAGUUACUGACCGGAAUAUGGGUGAGGGGUUACUUACACAAGCAGAAAUGACUCACAGACAACUGCAUAACCAAAGCCCACCCUAAAACAAAUGACAGCUCACAAAGCUGGGAACCUAUAGCACACUGCACAGCCUUCAGGCAGCUCAACAGGUUGGAGAGCUUCUUUCCAAGUGACUCUGGUCUCUCUUCCAGGCAGCUUUACUGGUUUCUGCUUCCCCCAGGCAGCUGGUUUGGUCUCAGUCUUCUCUGCAGCUCAGAUGCACCACUCUUAUUGCUUACUCUCUGGGAGUGGAGCCUAGUGAAUCAGGUCAGCUUCAGGGACUUCCUGAAGCUAUUUUGAGUUGUUCACCUUCCUGUUUAAGGAACUUCCCUGUCAGAUAGGAUGUUUCAAUCUUGAAGAAACUGUUACACAACAGUGAUAUGAUCUCAAGAAUGGAUCCUGAAAUUCUUCUGAAUCUCUUUUCAUGGGUGAGUUUGAUAAGCAUGUCUUGUGACAGAGCUGCUGCAGGGUAUGUAUAGGAUGCAAACACGAUGACUCCAGGUGGUGUUGGUACACCAAAAAGGCUCAGCAGGUUGUUAGCAGUCAGCAUGCUCCACCUGUGCCAGUAGGGAGAGAGAAGCAUGGUUGUCAGAAACAGAUUCAGUUCCUGAUGCUGUUAUAUUCUGGACUUGGCUACAAAUGUGGAGGAGAGAGACACACAAGGUGGAGGUCAUGUCUCAAAAAACAAGCUUUGGAAAAGUAGCUUUGGGAAUGACAGUUAGCACUUACUAUCUAGGGAUGGGCCAAGCCUGUGAGUAAGAAGUCAUUGGUUUUGCUCUGAUGCUUGAUAGACAUGGAGCUAAUAGCCCACACAAUUCAUUCUGCUUGGCUUAUGAGUCCUGUGGACCCAAGCUUUACUUCAGCAGCUGAUGUAGAGUAGUGGGAGACUUGGACCGAAGAGGCACAGAUGCCCGCAUGUGCCAGCCUUGGGCACACUGGUGAAGAGGCUAAGGGUCACAAGACUGGGCUGCAGGGAUUUAAUUAAACUAAUUAGUUGUAAAAGAAACUGUAAAGGAAGAAGGAAAGAAAACGUUACAAAAAACAAAAAAUUAAACAUAUACAUGUGUGGUAUAUUAUUUAUUCAUAAAAAAGAAAUGGCAUACUGUUGUGUGUUAUAGAACUGAGAAGCCUUGAAAACAGUAUGCUUAGUGAAACAGACACAAAUGGCCAUAUGCUGUAUGGUUGCAUCCAUUUUAAAAGCACAGGUGGAGAGACAGUACACAGAUUUGUGGUUGGCAAAGGCUAGAAGAAGGGUGAAAGAACAGAGCCUGGCAAUGAGUUCAGGGUUUGCUUGUGUAUGGUGAGAAUGUUCUGUAGUAAUACAGUGGCAAAGGAUGCAAAACAUGGGUAAAGGGGCUUGCCACCAAAGCUGAGGAUCUGAGUUCAAUCCCAGGCACUCACAUAAAAGGACAGAACCCAUUCCUACAAGUUGUUCUCUGACCUCUGCAUGAUUCAAAUUUUUUAAAGUAGUGGUUUAUGUUUUGUGGAGUAUACUUGGGGGGAGGGGAUCAAAACCAGAAAUUAAGCAGUUAAAUCCCAAUAUCCUAAAACAAAUACCAAAAGGUUCUAAAUGUUAAAAAAAAUAGCACAUUUAUAUUUUUCUGCAUCUUCCUAGCACAAAUUGCUUUUUUGAAAGGCUUUUGCUUCAAAAGCAUUAGCCAUUCACAGGAAGUUGCAAAGAUAGUAGGCCAGGUCAUAAUACCCAGUUUUCCUCAGUGGUUGCAAUCUGGCAUUACUGUGUCCACAGGGAAUCCAGGGAGUUGACAUUGAUACAAUCAGUGUUUGCUAGUCUAAUCCCAAGAGAUUUAUUAGUGCUGAAAUAAAGAAACACUGCCAUAUCUUCCCCAGGAAGCUCUUUCUUGCUGGUUCUUUUUAUUGAUACCUCUACCUCCUCCUCAUCCUAACCAGUGGCAACUGCUCAUCUUCUGCAUUUCUGCCAUGUUGCCAUAACUAGGCUGUUUAUAACUAUGUAGAUAGAAUCAUAAAGUAUCUGACUCUGUUUCCAGGAUACCUGCUGCUAUGAACGCUGGUGGGCAGAUAUUUGUGUAGAUAGGAGCUUUCCUUACUUUGGGCUAAAAGGCAAGAAAUACGAUUGCAGAGUCCUACAAUGGAUAGGGGCAGAUGCUUAGUUUUUAAGAGUUCCAAACUAGCUUCAGAGAGUCUGAGCCAUUUAAUGCAGUGGUUCUCAACCUUCCUGAUCCUGUGACCCUUCAAUAUAGUUCCUCAUGUUGAGGUGACCCCAACCGUAAAAUUACUUUCAUUGCUACUUCAUAACUGUAAUUUUGCCACUGUUAUGAAUCAUAAUGUAAAUAUCUGCAUUUUCUGAUGGUCUCAGGUGACCCCUGUGAAAGGGUUGUUCAACCCUUAGGGGUCAUGACCCACAAGUUGAGAACUACUAAUUUAAUGCAUCACCGGCAAUGCAGUGGUGAUCCUGUCUCAAGCCUCCUGCCCCAGCCUUCCUAGUGCUGGACACCCCUACAUUUUUGCUUCGGCUGUUCAAGUUGUGAUCACUGCAUUUCCUCAUUGCGGGGAAAGAUGCUGGCUAGGUUUCCAUUGGCCUACUUUCUGUUUUUGUAUUUUUUCCUUCUUCUAAGUUUAUUGCUUUCAAUAUUGAAUUUUGAGAAAUGCAUACACAAAAUAAAUACAAGUCUUUGUCAGGAUGUGUGGCUUGCAGAGGUUUUCUAUCAUCCAGCAGGUCAUCUCUCUUACCUCUUUUAGCAAAGACUUUCUUGGGGACAUUAAAAAAAAAUUUUUUUUUCCCGAGACAGGGUUUCUCUGUGUAGACUCUUUGGAGUCUAUCCUGGCACUCGCUCUGGAGACCAGGCUAGCCUCGAACUCACAGAGAUCCGCUUGCCUCUGCCUCCCGAGUGCUGGGAUUAAAGGCGUGCGCCACCAAUGCCCAGCUUAAAAAAAUUUUUUUUGUGUGUGUGUGAAGUUUAUUUUACCAUUUGUUCCUUUGUGCAUGUGGAUUAUGCUUUUGAUGUUGUCUAAGAAUUCCCUUCCCUAAGUGUAGAUCCUGUAGAUUCUCUAUGGCGUUUUCUUUUAAGAGUUUUAUACUUAGGAAUGUCUUUAUUGGGUGUAUGGAUGUGAUGGGAAGGUAUGUGUGCCACACCAACUACACAGAAGUCAGAGGACAGCUGUGCAGAGCCAGUGCCCUCCUUCCACUUCCAGGGAUGGAGUUUCAGUUGCCAGGCUGGUGUGCUGUAAAUGCCUUUACCAGCUGAGCCAUCUCACCAGACCCAGGGAUUACUUUUCAAAAAGGUACUCCCCCCCUCCUGAAUAUAGAAGAAAUGUGUGCACAUUGCUGAUCAUUUGGAACAUAAAAAUAAGUUAAAGGGAAAAUUAAAAUAGUGGGGCAGCAACCUCCCGAAACAUGUUUUGGUGUUUGACUUCAAUUUUAAUAAAAAUGUGACCUCUUUUAUAACAUGCGACUGGACCCCUCCCACAUUGAACCAGGGAGAACCAGCCGGUUGCUGAGGGAGAGGUGCCUCGCUCAGUGCUGAGCUCAGCUGGGGGAGUUGCCACUCAGACAAGACCAAGAACUACUGACCCUAACGGUAAGAUGCGUGUUUAUGAACUGCAGCGGUUAGUCACAGACCUUAAUUGCCGCACCAGAUAAAGAAGCUAUUUAAGACAGCAGGUUGCUACGGCCAAAAAAGAAACAGCAAAGUCUUUUUGAAAACCACCGGCUUGUAACCAAGGAGAACGUCAGGUUGGAGGGCGGAAUGGAUUGGUGUGCACCGCCUGCAUGGAGAUGGAAGGUGACCCAGCACAAAAACAGCCAGGCCUUGGCUGCAUUCUGUUUAAUUGUACAGUAAUCCAUUGAGGUUUCUUUUCUCCAGCCCUAGCCUGUGGGGCCUUCUGACCGGCAACAUCCUCUUAUCCUAUUCACUUCUGACUUGUGGGUGGGUGUAUAGAACUCAGUCAGCCUUUGUCCCACACCCUGACCAGUCUGCUGGUAGCACAGGGUAGCAUCUUAGAUGUGAGCAGUGGACUCCAACAGAGCAAGUCGGUUUCUUCUUUGUUUGCUUGUUUUAUUUGAGAUGGUAGCUUGCCAUGUAGCCCAGGCUAGCCUCGAAUUAGCAAUCCUCCUGCCUUAGCCUCCUGAGUGCUGGAAUCGCAGGCAUGGUUCACCGAGAAUGCCUGGUUAGUAGUCUAGUUUUGAGAUGACGGCAUUAGUGGUAGAUUGCAAGUGGGAAAGUCCAUGGGAUUCAUCUCCAGUAAACAAACUAAAAAUUAAAAUCAAUCAGUCAGUCCAUCAGUCAUGGGACAUUUAGAAUCCACGACAUGUCUCCCCACCUCCCACACAGCCUGGAAUUCCAGAUAGUUGAUAAAUGAAACUUGACACAAAUUCUUUUAUGAAGCUAAGGAACAAUUCUGCAUUUAAACUUGUCAGUUUUUGAGUUUGUAUUUCAUGUUUGCACCCUAUGGAACAUUAUUUAAAUUUCUUGGCCACACGUUUUCAAGAAAAUCUUACUUUUAAUUGCUGAGUAAGAACACACUGUUGUAUGUUAGAUAUGGAAGAAUUGAGCAAAUCAACUGGAUCCCCUUACAGGUAUGUAAA
rnacentral:lncRNA from 1 species